AUGGAGCUGGCGGCGCCAUGUAGCUUCAGCUGCUCGUCAUACGCCCACUGCUCCAUCGGCUUCACGCCGGCGCGGGUCCUCCGCGCCGGCGCCGGCACCUGGAGGCUCCGUGCCGGGGCGCACCAGGGCGGCGGGGACGGCGUCGAGCCGGCCGGGCGCCUCGCCGCGGACGGGCCUCCCGUGGUCGACGUGCCGGCGGUCGUCGCGGGCGCGGAGGGGUUCGGAGGGGCCCGGGACGCGGAGCUGGCCAUGUGGGAGAAGCUGGGCGCCGUGGUGCGGCUGAGCUACGGCAUCGGCAUCUACGCGGGCAUGGCGCUGGCGGGGCGGGCGAUCUGCGACAUGGCCGGCAUCGACUCCUCCGGCGGGUUCCACCCGUCGCUGACGGCGCUGGUGGAGGGGCUCGGCUACGCGUCGCCGCCCAUCAUGGCGCUGCUCUUCAUCCUGGACGACGAGGUGGUCAAGUACUCGCCGCACGCCCGCGCCAUCCGCGACGUGGAGGACGAGGAGCUCCGCACCUUCUUCGCCGGCAUGUCCCCCUGGCAGUUCAUCCUCGUCGUCGCCGCCAGCUCCGUCGGCGAGGAGCUCUUCUACCGCGCCGCCGUCCAGGGAGCAUUGGCCGAUAUAUUCCUGAGAGGCACGGAGCUGAUGAAAGAUGCCCGGGGGAUUGUGUCCCUGAGUGGAAUGGUGCCUCCAUUUGUCCCGUUCGCGCAAACCUUCGCCGCCGCCAUCACCGCCGCCCUCACGGGUUCCCUCUACUACAUCGCGACCGCCCCCAAAGACCCUACCUAUGUGGUGACACCGGUUAUGCGCUCGCACGCCGGGCGACAGAAUAUGAAGAAACUGUUUUCAGCUUGGUACGAAAGGAGGCAGAUGAGGAAGAUAUACUCACCUCUUCUAGAAGGCAUCCUGGCUUUCUACCUCGGCUUCGAAUGGAUCCAGACGGGCAACAUCCUGGCACCGAUGAUCACCCACGGCAUAUACUCCGCGGUGGUCCUUGGCCACGGGCUGUGGAAAAUCCAAGACCACAGGAGAAGGUUGCGACAAAGGGUCCAGGAAAUUAGACGAGGCUCAGAGAGACUCUAG
rnacentral:rRNA from 1 species